rnacentral:rRNA from 1 species
UACGGAGGAUGCAAGCGUUAUCCGGAAUCAUUGGGCGUAAAGCGUCCGCAGGUGGUCACUCAAGUCUGCUGUCAAAUACUAGAGCUUAACUCUGGAAAGGCAGUGGAAACUGAGAAACUAGAGUCCGGUAGGGGUAGCGGGAAUUCCCAGUGUAGCGGUGAAAUGCGUAGAUAUUGGGAAGAACAUCGGUGGCGAAAGCGCGCUACUGGGCCGGAACUGACACUCAGGGACGAAAGCUAGGGGAGCAAAAGGG